GUUACAUGCUAUGUAAUUGCUGAAUCUUUCUGUAAAUAACAAUAACCACUAAUUUUAAAUUAUUAUUUUAUUUGCCAUUAAUACUUAAGGAGUUCUGUUGGUUGCGCUAGGGUGAGCUUUCUUUGAUUGCUUGCACUUCCACUUGUACAAUCACAGCGUCAUCAUCAGUGCAGACCUUCCUGCUACGAUUGAUAACAAAAAUCUGUGCAGUGGGAAUGUUUUAUAGUUCGAAACGUUAGCAUUAACUGCCAUACUUUUGGUAUCAGAGAUCUAAGAAGCGUACUUCCUACUUCUUCCUGAGCUGAGUCGCGCUUGUAUUUCAUUGGGCAGAUGUUUGGCUACAUUCUUGCAUUGGUUCUUAAACAGUAGUAGUGAGAAACAGGAGAGGGAGCUCUCACCCUGGCUAUGAGGGAGGGAAAGCCGAGUGAGGCAUCACUUCCCCAGGUCUGGAUGGGCAGGGGAGCUCCCCCCUCCCUAACAGCAGAGGGAAAAGGCAUUUUUUUUUGACUUGCCAUUCUGUGCCUUAGCCAUACUCAUCCGUUCCGCUGAAACAAGCAACUGACUUAGAAAAGAAAAGGAAAAUAAAUAAGUUGGGAUAGGUAAAAGAUGUAGAAAGCUUUAGGUAAUUAACCAUGUAUGUCACAUAGGAGCUCAGUGAACUGGUGGGUCUACUCUCCACCCAAUGUAAAAAUGGCCCUGUAGACUAGGAUAGCCACCUACGCCAGUUGAGUUAUACAGCUGGAAAUCCGUUGUAAACAAUCAUGUAAUAAAUCUAGUGGAAGUUUCUCUAAAAAAAAAAAUAGACCAUUUUGGACAAAAUACUAAAGUAACAAUGUUCUACAUCCAGUCUUAUGAAUGUAACGUAUACCAAAGUUUUCGCCCAAGGGAUAGGUGUAGUAAUGGUCAUGCAUCUGUAUUUGUAGUGGCAAAGAAUUUGGAAACAUCAUUGUGCUUCAGAAAUGCAGAAGCUUUUUUUUGUUUCCAUUUUACUCUGUGGCUCACUUUUAUAUCUGAAAAUUGUGCAAAAGGUAGCUGUCAAGUAAGCCAAGAUGAGGGCGUAAAUGAAAGCUGCUGCUUCAGAAAAUAAGAAAGUCAAUAUUAAAUGUUUUAGAGUGACUGCUAAUGAUCUGCUUGGUCUUUACAGAAAGGUCCCUAAGGAUCCACUUGUAGAGAUUCAAAAAUACAACACUACUUGUAACAAGAGCUGUUAAGAAUGAGCAAUUACAACAAAGUGAACGUUGCACAGAAGACUACUUGCUUAUGGCACUUAUUAAAAUGCCAUGAUCAAUAAGAGAUGGAACUAACAUGCAAUAUAAAUUUCUAAUCUAUGUAUACCUGCCUUGGAUUAAAACUUAAUCGCUCUUCAAAAGGAAGGAUCCAAAUUAAAUCCUUGUAUCAACUCUCUCAAUUCCUUAACUAAUGCAUCGGAAUGGUGAUGUCUGAAAUCCAGGUUGAGAGGUUCUUCCACGCAAGAUGCUGUUGGAGGGAUCGGGAGCUGAUAGUUACUGAGAGCGAUCCAAUGACAUCACAUAUCUGUCUUACAAAGGAAUACAUCAACAAUAGCCUGAAGCUUUCAUCAGAAUUUCUCCUACAUUUCUACCUGUUAUGUUACCUACACAUUUCACUUAUUCAUUCUCAAAGCUCUGUUCCUCUCCAGAAGGAGCAGGAGGAAAGGAUUCCAAAUGUCACUGGCAAGGGUAACAUUUGUCUGGGUGGAUUUCAAAAUGAAAUUUUUAUUGGCACCACAACUCUGCAUUUCAUAGUUCUCAGGACAUGUUACGUAUGUUACUCAGUGCGGCUUACAAGUACACAAACUGCCUUCUGCAUCACAUCUGUGAAGAAAUAGAUGGCGAAAUUUCACACUAAUUUUCAAUAGACAAUGAGAAGAAGCUUGCUUAUAUUACUCCAGCCUCAGGAGAAGUCAUCAUGACUUUUGUCAUGCAACAUUACACCUGUGUCCAAUGUAAACUUGUCCAUUUUGUUGAAGCUACAGCUGAAGUUCUGACUUCAAAUUUUGAGGCAGUGACCUCCUCCCAGGACUCCACUGUGCACAACUGUCAUACAGCUCAACACUGUUGUCCCUGGAUUACCUCGCUGCUUUGAUCUGUCACUGAAGUUGCUGUUUGUUGGCUAAUUCUCUGGCGGGUGGUUCAGAUACAAGGCCCCGAAACCUCAAGAAGGCAAGAGGUCAAAGGAUGCAACAGAGGUGAAGGAAAAGAGUCGUGGCAAAUAAACCUUACUAUGACCUCCAGAAGUCAACAAGCUCUGUUUUGAUGUUAGAAGGGAGAUGAAAAUAGAAUAUAUAUAUAAAAGAAGAAACAAAUCCAAAGAUUACUGAAAUUCAACAGUGCUUCAGAUGAUCACUCUUCAGUGAAGAAAAGGACUUUUCACUCUCGACAUAGGGCAAUGCCUUUGAAAUCGAUGAGCUUAAAUGAAGCAUAGACUGGGGACAUCUACCGUUCUCAUCACAGCUGCUGCCACAUCAUGGAGAGUAUUGCUAACACAAUGGAAGAGGAAUUAAGCUGCCCAUCUGUGCAAAGUAGGCUGUUUUGUCUGCUCACGGUUGAUUAGUGGGAGCAAAUGGACUUUUGCUAAUGUUGGGGGCACAGUUCUGGAAGAUGGAAGACCCACAUUCGAGUCCCUCCUCUUGCUGAUUAAGACCAUCACACCUUGGACGACCCGCCUUUACCGAAGAUCAGCAGCCCCGACACCAAGACAUCGCUGGAUGAGAGGUAGCCAUGGAAGGAAAUGGCUGCCCCAGUUAGAAGCUGAGAAUGAAAUGACUCCUUUUCGGCUGCAGCAUUAGAGGGGCCUUCAGUAGACCAUGUGCUACAUGAGCACUCAUCUCAGCCUUGGGAACACUCCUGGGAUGCACUUUUUUUUCUCUAUCCAACCUCCAGGUGUUUGAGCUAGUUAGGAACCAAAACACAUGCUUCCUACAGUGAGAAAAAUCAGAGUCUAUAUGAAAGCAAUGAACACUACCUCUGCAAGUAAAAUAAACAAGAACAGAGUAACAUUUGGAAGACUGGCCAUCUUGGCCCAUGCAGCUCUUGUCCAGAUAGCAGCCACCCUUCCCUCCUGUUCCUGACUAUACUAGAACAACUUGGAAUCACCAAAUUUAAGCACGGCAGAGCUUUGUUUUACAAUUACAGGUAAAAUAUUCUACCAGGGAGGACAAAUAGGGCAGGAGUUUAGAUAAAGAGGUAUCCCUGCUUAAGCAAGGAGUAGACUUUAUUAUUCAUGAUUUCAUUUUAUGCACUCAUGACCUUCAAGUGAUUUGCACACAAAUUCUUACUGUUCUACGUCUCUGUCUGGCUCAAGCAUAACGUUUAUUUUCCCCAGGUAGAUCAGAAUUAUUUUUUAGGUAGUAGACUGCACAAGUAACCAAAUACAAAAGAAAAAGCCAAUGUUUAAUUAAGUGUAUUUUGUGUAGGAUAGUUUAAAACCUUAAUUCACCUCUUAAGUCAACCUUAAAAUACCAGCUUAGAGGUUUGCUACAUAUAUUUGGAAUGAAAGGCAAUCUAUUCUAGCUUGAGUGCUAUAAAAUCCGGUGCCUAAAGGAAUAUUUAACAUAAGUACAUAUGUUUUGAUUGUAUAGCACUCAUCAGGAUCACAAGGAUCUGAAUUCCAAUCAGUUAAAGCACAAUUAGUACAGAAACAAUGGUAAGUGAAAAUGCCAGUUUAAGCAUUACAAAAGUUACUAGUGAAGUGUUCACACGUCUGAAAGCCUCCUUAGAAAUAUGCUUUGGCAAUCAAUGGACUCAAAUGUAAAGGUGUGAGAUUCCAUGGCUCAUACUGCACAGAAAUUAUAGAGGUGGAUUAUGAUACUUUUUGACUUUAACUUGCAUGGAUGUAUGCUAUUAUGAUUAUUGUACUGAUAAACGUAUUAAAGAAAUGAGAGAGUAAGUUAUUUGGUUAGACUCGAGAACCCUGGAGAAGACUAUUCUUUUAACAAACGAUGUUCACAUAGUUAGAUUUUUCUGGUGGUUGGAGCCUUGUAUGGCUCCCGAAAUGCAAGAAGAAAAUGGAACCCUUUGAUCCUGAAUCUUUCAUGAAAAUAUACCUUUAAUUAAGGAUCUUUCACUUGAAAAAUACCUUUUCUUUACUCAUUUCUGCUGCUGUAUAAAUCUGCUUUUUAUUGUGAGUCAUACAUCUGGCAGAAGAAAGGCAGUGUAUUGGGGAUGUGUCCAUAUGUGAAAAAUGUUGAUGAAUAGAGCAAUUAAUGAACAAGCGGCUUACCAUUGUUCAGUCCUUUUUAUGACAAUUACACACCACUUGAAGUGCUUUAUUUUUCUUUAUUUGUGAAUCAUUUUGCAUGCCUGGAUGCCCAGGGAGGACGCGUGUGUUUCUCGGACGCACAGAGCUCUGCACUGAGAACUGUGGGUGCCAUUUUAUCUCAUGGUCACGUGUGGGAAUGCACUUCUCUCAUUGACAUUCCUUUGGUUCAGCUGGGAACUGGAAUCAAAACAGACAGUGAAAAUGUAGUAUCUGUGGUUCAGCUCCUGAAUAAAAUAGCUAGGAAACUUUUUGCUUCUGUAAGAAUCAAGCAAGGACUUUAGUUUUUACAAACCAGAGCGGUUGUACAGUCCUGUUGAGGUAAAAACAAAUGAUGUGGCAAUGGUAAGAAAUAAAAUACAGAGAAAAAAAGGAGAAAGUUUUCAUAGUUCUGAGUAAAAAGUGAUUUGAUGUAACCUUCACAUUAUUUCCUUUCAACACUUGGAGGCAAAUCUAUAAAGCUUCUUCUCUGGUAUUAGCAGGAUUAUAUGAAAUAUAUAUAUAUUUUUCAGACUGUUAUUCUUUUAUUAAACAAUACAUUCUGUUCUCUUUCAAUUCUAUCCUGUGUAGGAUCUACAGAGACUGGGCUGAUCAGUAUGGUCUUUUUAUGCUUUUGAUAGCUGCCACUCCCAGUAAUGGAGGAAAUGUGGAUGCAAUCUGUUCUGCUGAAAGGCAGAUGAAAGUUAUUGAUCUCAGAUAAGUGCCAAAAAUUGGCAGACUCUCGUGCACUGGCAGAAGUGAUGCCCACAGGCGACACAAUUGUUUCUAUCUGAUUUAUGUGAAAAUUUAUGCUGGAUAUUCAUCUGCCUGGGGUGAAAAGACUUGCAGCACUUUUACGCAUCCUCCUCUCAGAUAACUCACUUAGUUGCUAAAGUAGCUGUCCCAGUAAAUUUUAGCUGUCACCAUGCUGGUAUGCUUUUUUUUUGUAGACAGCACAAACAAUAACCUCCUACAUAUUAAUGGUCAUAGCACAUAUACUGAAAUCACCUUUUGAUAGUUGUAGUUAAACUUUAUUUCCUUCAUUUUAUAAUUAUCUGUGCAGAUUCAUUAACUGAACAAAAGAAGUCAGGGUUUAAAACCACUCCUAUUUUAUGAUGUUGGCCCAUGACAACAUCAGAAGGGAACGGUGGCAGUAUGACAGUAGAAAGUUGAACCUUCCACAUAAUACAGUUACAUUUUAUUUCCAUGUGAAAAAUGGCAGCAGAAGGGCAGUAUCUAUUAAUAUUAAACAUAUUUUCAUAUGCUUGUGAAGGCUCAGAAAAUUGUAUGGUCAUUUAGAAAGAUUUAAGCUCGUUUUCCACCCUUCACAGAACGUUUUGGCUUGGUUUUUACAUGCUGUUCAUCUCAUGUCUUGCAUUCUCUUCUUUCCUUUCCAAGCAUGAGGUUUUUACAAAUGUCACAUUUACCUCUAGCCUAUGAAGAGUUAAGAAACCUCUUUUUUUACUGGAAGAAAACUUCAAAGAAAACAAGUUUUUGUUUUUAUUUCUUUUCUGAUUGAGAUACUAUUUGGAGGCCAAGUACAAAUUUAAUUAUGCAGUUUUACUACUAAAAAACAAUUAGGGCAGAUUCAUGAAGCAAUUACAUCAAUUGCCCUGUGGCUCCUUUUAGAUUUACUAAAUGCUUUCAUUUUUUAUCUGCUGCUUGAGCUGUAAUGAAGCAGAUGGAUUUCACUUGCUCUGAACCAGUGGUUAAUUUUCAGAUUUUUUUUCUCUCUUAGUUUUACUAAACUAAGCAAUGUGGUCUAUAAGUAGUUGUGUAUACUGCUACUAUAUCUUUCAAAGGAAAUGGAUGUUUGGUCAUUGCAACUUGCAAUUACAAGUUUCCAGGCUGUAUACAGGCAGAUUCAGUUUAAGUAACAUCCAUUUAUAAUCUUUAGUAUUUAAUACUAAUCUUCUAUUUGUAGUUAUUUUCUGCAUAUUGGUUUGAUUCAAUCAAAUUAUUUGCUCAGAUUAAGAUGGUUGGCAAAAUCAGUAAAAUAGUAAAAGUAGGCUUAGGUCUAUUUGACAUUCCUCCAUGAAAAAAUUGUGUAAGAGCAGUUGUGUGUUUUUCUUGUCAUCCAUUUGACUAAUGAGUUCUUUUGAAUGGAAUAUAAUCUUAAUGACAGCAAAGAAGAAGCCAAAUGAUAAACAGUGCUGUUUGUAUCCCACUGUCCUUGGCCAUAGAAAUAGUAAUACAUGCUGGUGUCCUUCCUAGAUAUGUAGCACACGAGACUGUUUUCUUCCUUUCAUUCAGUUUAAUGGUUUACAAUAAACAAUGGUUUAGAUGGAUCUUGGUAAUGUUAGCAUGGAAUUAUUUUGUGUUGAGCAUCAAGGAAGAAUGCAGUUAGCAUCAAUGCAUGCAUGGGAUACACCUACUACACACAGAGUUUAAGGAUUAUUACUGAUGGAGUAUUUUCUUUUCAAGGUUGUUCUUGCUCUGAUAAAAUUACAAAAAUUUGAUUCAAAUAUGUUUUUUUCCUUUUUUUUUUUUCUGGAGUUGCUAUUAAGUAAAAGAAUUGUAGGAUGUCAUUUACUAAGCACUGGAUUCUCCUUGCCCGUUUUUUGUUUGUAGACAAACGUAAAUGAAAGUCAAUAAAGGGACUAACAUUUUCCUGUCAGCUUGUUACAAAAUGAUGUGCAAUUUCCAUUUCCCACUCCGCUAUUUGAUGAUCAAGCUUUGCUUGUUUGAGUUUUGUCUUUAUGAUUAUAAAUUAUCCAGUCAUAGCCAGUCAUCUGUAUGAGAAAAUUAUCUUCCAUCAAGUAUGAUUUUAUUGCGUGCAUUUUAAUACUGUGACAACCUAUUAUUAUUAUAUGUAUGAUUAAAGAGAUACGGUUACCUCAAUUUUAGCCUAGAAUUUACCCAAGAAACUAACAAACAAAAAAAAAGUAUAUAUAUAUAAAUACCUGAGUAAAAAGCUCAAGCUUUUUGAAAAUUACCAACUAAUUGUUCUCAUGAGCUGAAAGGCAAAAUAUAAAUGAAUUUAAAAUAAAAAAUUUUUACUGUACAAAUGCACAUUCAUUGCAUUAGUAUGAACGUGAACAUAAGCCAAAAUUUCUGAUGCAAAUAGCAAAACUGAAAGUGGUUUUUAUGUGGAGAGAAACACAAUGAAUAAAUUCUUUAUUCAAGCACUAAAAUAACAAUUUCAGUUACAGAAAAACUGGUUUUCUGAGGAGAUUUUCCUUGAACUAAAGAGUGUUCUCACAUUUCUCUCUGAGGUUAGUAUUGGGCACAAGAGGUGAUUUCAAUGUGGAUGGCACAGGUAGAAGUUUUAGCCUGUAUGGUAGUAGAGAAAUGGCUUACCCUCUAUGAAAAUGACACAGGUAUGAUUCAGCCAGCUAAUAAUUCUCUGCCGUGAGAGAAUAAAUGAGAAGGCUUCUGAAGAACAGUAAAACCAUGAGGGACAGCAUCUAAACUAAUUCAGAUGUUGCUAUCACUGUUCUAAUGUAUUUAAGUCGAUAGUACUUCUAUGCAUGUGUCAUGUAGGGACAUGGGACUGGUUAAAUGCAGUGGGCCUUUACACUUGUUGCUUGUAAAGGUGUACCAAAGUGUUUUCCUCAAUCAAGCCUUAAUCCCUUCAAUCCUGUUCCAUUGGGUGUCCAGAUGAAAGUGGAAAUAUCAGUGUAAAAAGCUUGAAAAAUAUUUGCUUUGUAGCUCAGAAUAUUUUUUUUAACCUUUAAAAAAACUCUCCUGAAGAGCUAAUAAAGCUUACUAGCUGGGGACAGAAGUCAUUUUAUUGCUUUUUCUCCUUGGUUGUUUAUUUUUGUCUUGCAGGAAGGGAGGAUACUUUAAUCUUAUUGCUGUAGUACUUGCCUAGAUAGAUACUUUUCCCCUCCACCCUUCCCUCUCUUGCAAAAAAAAAAGUCUUUAAUCCAUUCACAGGUCCUACUAUGUGUGAAAAGGACUUCCUGUCAGGUUAGUCAGACUCUUUCAGCAUCAGUUCUUUAAAAGAAGUAUGGUAGAGACAAGGCUAGUCCUUAACUCAUUGCUAUUUUCUUCCUUUUAUGUGUUCGUGAGCUUCUUUUGGCUAUUUUUUAAAAUGAUCAGUAUGCUAAUGUAUAGGAGAUAAAUGCUAGUGGCCUUUUCUUCUCAGGUUAAGGUAUUUCAUUUUAUGUUGUCCAUAAGAAAUGGAAUGACCAGCAUAUGCCAGUAAAAAUGCUUUCUGCUUAAUGUGAAGGGACUGAAAGAAAUGGGAUAGUAUAGGCUGUGUCUUUAGAUGGGUUAAUUUUGCAAUAAUUGAACAUGAACUUACACAGAAACAAACAUUUUGUGGGCAAUCUACUUGCUUAUAAAGAGCAACUAUAUACGCAUUCUCUUACUGAAUCAGGUAAAAACAGAGUUUUCACUCUCUAUGCAUUGUGAUGAAGUGAAUGAAGUGUUAUGGACAAAGAAUAAAAAUGAAAUAAUAUAUGGCAAAACAGCUGACAUAAAAGGGAGAUGAAAUAUUCUAUGUCUGAUGUUAUAGUCUUCUCUGAUUUUAUUCCUACUGUGCGAAUGCAUCAGGAAGGUGCAUACUAAUAAUACAAUGAAUAUAAAUUCAUGUGCUAGCUGUGUGUGAUCCUGUGAGUGGUCUUUUAAAGGCACUGCAAAUGCCUUGUUCCAAGUUUCCCAUCCCAAUGAGCAAUAUGUAUGGUGAGGAAAACCUAGCUUAAUUGUUUAUAUUUAUAUAUAUAUAUAUUUAUAUAUAUAUUUAUAUUUUCUGGUUUCUUUAACUAAUUAGCUUUACAAAUCACAUCAAAAUCAGGUUAAUCUUUGCCUAAGGUAGCACAGGUACUUAUUCAUCAAAGUAGAAACAGGAUACCAUUCAUUCUUUCAUUCAUUCACAUUUUAUGUACUUGGAUAUUUUUUACACUCAGAUUAAUUAAGAUUUUUGGAGAUGACAGAAGUAUCUUGUCCUGUAUUAUCUCUAUUAAAACAAUAAUAAUAACAAUAAUAAAUAAAACUACAUGAGAAAAGACUCUAACAACAAGAGAAAGAAAAAGGAAUGGAAGAUAAUAGAAAGGGAAGGAAAGGGAAUAUCAAAUCCUGACAGAUAACAAUUUACUCAUGGAUCAGCCAUUACACUGCUACCCUAAAGAUACUGGAGCAGCCGUGAAGAUGCUGAUAUGUAUUGAACCUGGAAAGUUUAUCGCUUGAUUCUUGACUAAUCUCAAAAUGGAAAAAAAAAAAAAAGUGAGCAAAAGAAAAGACAGAAUAUUUUAUUAAUUAUUUGAUUUGAACAAUCAUUCCUAUAUAUUUUGUGUAAUCUCCCUACUUCUGACUUCACUGAUGAGGUAGUAAUAUUUCAGUGGUAUUGUCUCCUUAUUUAUUGAAGUAUUCCAAACUAGUAUGUGGAUACAUGAAUGCUCAAGGUUUUGUAGCAUUUCAGAUUUUCAUUAACACUUUAACUGUCCAAUGAACUGAUUUUUAAAAUAUUCUAUCUUCGUUAUAUGUCCCACUUCUAAUUACUUUUCAGCUCAAAAAUAUGCCACUGUGAUCCAUUUUUGGAUUCAUCUACUCCCAUCAGAGGUCACUCCUUCGAACUUGCUGUCAUUUUAUGAUGUAUGCAUAUUGUAGGUUUCUCUCCAUCAUUUGAUCAUUGAUCACUUCUUCCCCUCUCUUUACAAUAGGUAUGCCGAUAUCAAUUAGUCUCGAACCUCAUGUUAUUUUGUGACCUUUAAAAAGGCCAUAUUGCAUGAUUUAUUUGCUUUUGCUGUGUGUGUGUUUGGAUACUGUUCUGUUGUGGUAGGUUUGGUAAUUUGUUCCCCUUUUUGGAAGUGAAAACCCAUCAAGAAAUAUUAGUCUUCUUGCUCCAGUGGAAACUGGAUAGAUCGUUGUUGCCCUGAGAGCCAUUAUAUUUAAUUUCCUAAUUUUAAUUGCUUGAGGCAAUUCCUCCAGCACUUAAAUUAAAUAUAGGGAAGGACACCUCCAGUCACUAGAGAGAGAAUGUGGUUCUGAUGUAGAGAGCAGUGGGAUCUGGGAUGCAGGAGUGGAUGGAUGGAAUAGGCAGGUGUCAUGCAGCAGCACUGUGAACAGUUUGGAGGAGGUGGGAGAGAAUAAGCAGAAAAGGGUGGGCAGAUGGAUAUCUUCAUUUGUAGAAACAGAAUACUAUUUUAAAAAUAUAAGUUUUUUCUUUUCUUAUGUAUCUGGUUUCAUGCAUUUAUUUUACUCCAAUAUCUGAAGGUUCCAAUAAAUGUAGUAGUUGAAAAAAAGUUUUCUCUCCAUUUUUUAAAUACUUGAAGUAAUCCUAGUACUUAAAAAUUGCACUUUUUAGGUCAUUUUUUAGCAGAAGGUCACUACCUCAUCUCCUCCUGGGUAAGUACAGACAUUUGAGCUCUUGUGUUAAUCUCUUUGUCCAGAUUGUAAUAGUCAUUUUCUUUCUUCAUGUAAUUCAGAUAGACUUGACAGGAGAGCAAUAUGCCUGCAGGGACUGCAGAACAAAAAUACUUAUAUAAUUUUUAAUGUUGAUGGCUCCUGUUGUUUGAGGUAUUGAUAAGUUCUGGCCUCUGUUUAUUUGGGAACUGGAGACUGUGCUUCUUGUUGACUUGGAAGAAAUUAAACACUAGACCACCAAACAGAGUAUGGCUAGGAAAGUCAGAGUUUAUUUUGUUUAAUAUAUCAAAUACCUAUCUUAGUAUAUGGUAUCUUGUUUUAAGGAUCACUUUAUUUAUGUAAGUUAUUGGAAUGAAAUAAAAUGUUACAUAGUAAGCAAAAUGCCAUGGACCAAUGCUUGAAUUCCCGUCUCAAAGCAGAACGUAUAAAUGAAAAUUACAUAAUUUAGGAAUAUAAUUUUGAUCAAACACACAAGGUUGAGUUCUUGUAUUCAACAGAUGUUGAACUUUGUUAGUGAUUUUUUUUUGUUUGUUUAGUGCAGAAAGCACCAGAUCUUGUCAUUCAAACUAAAGAAAAACUUCAGUUGAAAUAAAUAGAAGGCUGUUUCAUUUACUGGGAUUUGGACCAGAUCAAAGUAUUCCAGCUUCAGUCAGGUGCCAUACUGACUGACAGCCAAGUGUCACUGAAGUAAAAUGAAAUGCAUCCAGGCUAAUGAAAUCCUUGCCUUCUGGUUAUGACUAUGACAGCUGUAUUUCUCAGGUUAUUGACGUCAAACUAUUUUGAAUUGAGCUAAGAAGAUGAGUAAUUUAACGUAGCCUUCCAGGCCUCUAUUGAAAUAGGUAAAGGUGAAAAUAUUGCUUCCUAUUUCAUUUCUCUGAACUAUCCAAAACCUGAAAAUUUUACAUCGAUGUUCAUGAGUUAAAAUAAAUUAGACACUAAACAUACUUUAUAGAUAACUAUCCACUUUUCUAAUGUCCUAACAGGUAAGCUGUAGGCUCUUCUCUCUCUGACCAGGCAAUGAAGAAAGCCCUUCUCUAUUUCUCUUGCUCAUCCUUGCUAAUAGCUAGGCCAAAUUUGCAACUGGAGAGCUAGUGAAUGAGCCGUUGUACAUAAUUAUGGACUAUAGUAAUGGGGGAAGACAAACAGUACUAUGAUUCUGUUAGUUACAUUGUGGAAAUGUUAGAUAUGUUAUCAUCUUCAUAUGCAAUUGAAAUUUAUGUGCACUGUGCCCUUUGAAAAUACAUCAGGUUACUUCAACUGAGUAGGCUGUUAUAUGGCAGCUAUUCUGCUAUAUCUACUCACUUGUGUAUGGUUAACUAGAGACAAAUAUGAAGUAAUACAACCUAAAGUCAAUGGUUUUAAAUUAAAAUGAAUUACUUCAGACUUUUCUGAAUCAUGAACACAGAUGGACAAAAUGAACAUAUCUAACAAUGUAAGUUAGUGAGUUACUGUGAGUAAGUUUUCAAGAAAGUAAAAUUCUAAUGGCAGAAUCCUAGAGAGUUUUCUGCAGGAAUUAUGAAGUAUUGGAUUCAGCUCGUUUCCAUUAAGCCCUGCUUUUAACAUUCCCUAGUACUCAAGAGUACUAGUCAGAAUUUAGAGCACAGCGUUGAACAUGCUGAGCAAAGGAUAAGUCUUUGUAUCAUAAAGCGUAUGCAAGAAUUUCAUAGUGGAAAAUGAUAUAUCAUCUAAGACAUCCAUAUUUAAAGAACUCCCAUUUAUCUCACAUGCACCUGUCAUUAAGUGUCUAUUUCCACCUUGGAAAGAAAUGACAUGGACCUCUAUAGCUGGGUAAGAGACAGUUGUAGAAUGCAACAAAGUGUUUUUUGAGGUUUAAGUUACUUACAUGCACUUAUUCAUUCACAGUCAGCCAAAUCGGGGCUUUGCCAAUAAGUGGAAUGAAGUUUGCAAAAGAAAAUAUAUUACAGCUGAAAGAGAUUUUUCAGUGUCUACUUUCUAAAUUAAAUGAGAUUGCAAACAGAAGAUUAGAGUAGAUGUUUGAAAAUGCAGAUAUUGCUUUAGACUAUGUCAUCUAGAAAGCAUUUCUAUGAGGUUUUUAAGCAUAAAAUAUGACCAACACUUGGAAAGAUGAAUUAACAGAUAACAAAAUUCAGGACUUUCUGUGACAAACUUCUUAAGCAUGUAAUAAAAGAUACAGUAUAAUAUUCUCAUUACUGUAGAAGUACUGAUGGAGGAUUUAUUCUCUGAAAGUGUGGUAGGAUUAUAAUAGCUCCUGUUCCACGCUCUUUUCCCCAUGAGUGAAAGUUUUAGUCCAAGGGCUUUGCAGUGUGUUUCUUUGCAUUAACAAUAUAUUGUAGAUACAGUAACACCCUAGCAUAUAUUUUCCAAUUAAAUUAUUUGUAAGCAUUUCUAAGAAUUGAAUUUUCACUGUAGUUACAUGUUACUCCCUUGGCUAUGCACAGCUUUUCCAAGUCACAGAUGUUAGGUCUUUUUAUUUUAAUUUUUCACUUAUUCAGAAAUUUCAUAAGGAAGAUUUGGCAAUGAAUUCUUUUCCUUAUAAAUCCAUAAAGCUAUCUGGGAGCAUAAUUAAAGUACCCCACUUACCGGGCAUGGAUAUCAUUGUAAAAGUCAGAAUUUAGUUUGCAACUGUAGUAACUUGCC
rnacentral:lncRNA from 1 species